UACAGAGGGGGCAAGCGUUAUUCGGAAUUAUUGGGCGUAAAGGGCGCGUAGGCGGCCACGCACGUCCGUUGUGAAAUCGCCCGGCUCAACUGGGCGGGGUCAGCGGAUACGGUGUGGCUAGAGCAAGCUAGGGGGCAAUGGAAUUCCCGGUGUAGUGGUGGAAUGCGUAGAUAUCGGGAGGAACACCAGUGGCGAAGGCGGUUGCCUGGAGCUUUGCUGACGCUGAUGCGCGAAAGCGUGGGGAGCGAUCCGG
rnacentral:rRNA from 1 species